rnacentral:tRNA from 1 species
GGGGGAAUAAUAUAAUUGGUAGUAUACUGUGUUUGCAUCACAGCAGUCUGGGUUCAAGUCCCGGUUCCUCCA